AUUGAACGCUGGCGGCAGGCCUAACACAUGCAAGUCGAGCGGAUGAAGGGAGCUUGCUCCUGGAUUCGGCGGACGGGUGAGUAAUGCCUAGGAAUCUGCCUGGUAGUGGGGGAUAACGUCCGGAAACGGGCGCUAAUACCGCAUACGUCCUGAGGGAGAAAGUGGGGGAUCUUCGGACCUCACGCUAUCAGAUGAGCCUAGGUCGGAUUAGCUAGUUGGUGGGGUAAAGGCCUACCAAGGCGACGAUCCGUAACUGGUCUGAGAGGAUGAUCAGUCACACUGGAACUGAGACACGGUCCAGACUCCUACGGGAGGCAGCAGUGGGGAAUAUUGGACAAUGGGCGAAAGCCUGAUCCAGCCAUGCCGCGUGUGUGAAGAAGGUCUUCGGAUUGUAAAGCACUUUAAGUUGGGAGGAAGGGCAGUAAGUUAAUACCUUGCUGUUUUGACGUUACCAACAGAAUAAGCACCGGCUAACUUCGUG
rnacentral:rRNA from 1 species